UGUGUGUGUGUGUGUGUGUGUGUAAACAGGAAAGGCAAUAGAAAUUUUGGAGAAAAUUUUGAAGAAACAGAAUUCCUACUGGUAGAAACGAAAUGUAAGGCCAGAAUUCAUCCUGCCCCCACUGUCUCCUGCGGCACUGAACACUCUGCAGUCCUGGCUCCCGGGGCUGCAUCUGCCCUGCUGCCAACAGCUGGACCUGGGAUCCUCAGUGGGCUCGCCGGAACACAGGAAUCUCUGGGAAGAUGACAGUCAUGUGCAUCAAAGUCCAUGGAGUGCUCCUCACUGCAUUGCUCGUCAGUGUUGGUUGGAUUCCUGUCUGGGAAAAAAAUAAAAGGAAUUCAACAGUUUCUCAAAAUAAUAAUGGACCUUCAUAAGCCAUCGACACCAAUGAGACUUCUCUGGCACAUGAGCUACAACUCUAACACAAGAAGAUGCUUCUGAACUCACAAUAAGCAGUGGUACACCAAAAAAUGUGCAUUCAGAAAAUGCGAUGGACCAGCAUCCUUCAAUGCCUCCAUGAUAAUUAGGAUCAGAAAUCUGUGGGGUGGAGUGGGGAGAAGAAUGACAUGGGAUACAGAGGUCAUAAACCACAAGACUUUGUCUCAUGUCCUUAAAUCCCAUUUGUCGAGAUACUCCCUUUCUGGGGAUGCUUUAUUUUUACCCGGGACAUGCAGAAAAAUCUCCUUGUAAACAUGUAUAAUAAACUCCGCAGGGAAUUUUGUGGGCAUCUCAUAAAAUUUCCAGCUAAUUACAUCUCAUAAAAGAAGGUGCUGGGAGGUGCUUGCCUCUCUUACAGCACCAGAAAAACAGGAAGUUUUUCAUUCCUUCCUUCCUCCACCCCUUGUCUCUUCCUGGUCUACUCUACUCUCUAACUAUGCCCACCUGUGUAUGUGUGUUUUGUUCUUACCUUUAAAAUAAACAUUAUCACUUUGUG